ACUGGAUGCGCAGUCGCACUAAGGACAGAUGUGCUCUGAGGCAUGCCCCGUAACGUGUAUGAGCGGUCUGUCGUGCGGCAGGAAUAAGUUGUACAAAGUCCAUCUUAGACAUGUGUGUCACACAAGCUAGCAGCAUCCCAUGAGAAACGGGCCGAAGUGUUUAAGUGUUCACCGGAGUUUGCACCCUUGGCAAGCGGAAUGAGUUUUCACGGUGCUCAAUGUCCAGAGAAUGAGCCGUGUGUGGUGAGGAAAUAAAUGGCUGCACCCGUUAGAGACUCUUCUGUCGUUCUUGAUGCCAAGGGCUGCUACACCUGGAUCACCUGUAUGGAGAGAAAUAAACCAGAAGAGAAAUCAAACAAAAAAGAGCAACAUAAUAAAUACAUGUUAUCAUCGUUUAU